UACGGAGGGUGCGAGCGUUAUCCGAAAUUACUGGGUUUAAAGGGUGCGUAGGCGGCGCUGUAAGUCAGGAGUGAAAGUUUGCGGCUCAACCGUAAAAUUGCUUUUGAUACUGCGGUGCUGGAAUUAGGAUGAGGUCAGCGGAAUGUGGCAUGUAGCGGUGAAAUGCAUAGAUAUGCCAUAGAACACCAAUUGCGAAGGCAGCUGGCUAGACCUGGAUUGACGCUGAGGCACGAAAGCGUGGGGAGCGAACAGG
rnacentral:rRNA from 1 species